rnacentral:piRNA from 1 species
UUUUAGAUAUGACAUCAAAGCCCAAAUGAU